GAUGAACGCUAGCGGCAGGCUUAAUACAUGCAAGUCGUGGGGCAGCAGGACUGUAGCAAUACAGUUGCUGGCGACCGGCAAACGGGUGCGGAACACGUACGCAACUUACCCUGAACUGGGGGAUAGCCCGGGGAAACCCGGAUUAAUACCCCGUAAUAUAAUGGAGUGGCAUCACUUUAUUAUUAAAGCUCCGGCGGUUCGGGAUGGGCGUGCGGCUGAUUAGGUAGUUGGUUGAGGUAACGGCUCACCAAGCCUACGAUCAGUAACUGGUGUGAGAGCACGACCAGUCACACGGGAACUGAGACACGGGCCCGACUCCUACGGGAGGCAGCAGUAAGGAAUAUUGGGCAAUGGAGGCAACUCUGACCCAGCCAUGCCGCGUGGAGGAUGAAGGCCCUCUGGGUUGUAAACUUCUUUUAGAGGGGAAGAAACCUGUGUAUUCUUACGCAGUUGACGGUACCCGAGGAAUAAGCACCGGCUAACUCCGUG
rnacentral:rRNA from 1 species